GACGAACGCUGGCGGCGUGCCUAAUACAUGCAAGUCGAACGACCCGCGACUAAGUGCUUGCACUUAGUCAAGGUGAGUGGCGAACGGGUGAGUAACACGUGGGUAUCCUACCCCAUAGUGGGGGAUACCAGUCGGAAACUACUGCUAAUCCCGCAUCGGACAUCGGAUCACAUGAUCCAGUGAUGAAAGGUGGCGCAAUCUAUCGCUAAGAUAUGGACCCGCGGUGCAUUAGCUAGUUGGUAGGGUAGAGGCCUACCAAGGCGAUGAUGCAUAGCCGACCUGAGAGGGUGAUCGGCCACAUUGGGACUGAGACACGGCCCAAACUCCUACGGGAGGCAGCAGUAGGGAAUCUUCCGCAAUGGACGCAAGUCUGACGGAGCAACGCCGCGUGAGUGAAGAAGGUCUUCGGAUCGUAAAGCUCUGUUGUUAGAGAAGAACAGCGCAUAGAGUAACUGCUAUGCGUGUGACGGUAUCUAAACAGAAAGCCACGGCUAACUACGUG
rnacentral:rRNA from 1 species